rnacentral:lncRNA from 1 species
UUUUCCUCAAAAAUUUUUUUCCUCAAUUUUUUUUUUCCCUCAAAAUAUUUUUCCUCAAAAAGUUUUUCUUCAAAUUUUUUUGUCAUUGCCUUAUUUGUUUUCUUUUUCCUUUUUCGAUUAUCAUCCUUAUUUGAUUUCCAUUUCCUUAUUCGAUUUUCAUUUCCUUAUUCGAUUUUCUUUUCCUUAUUCGGUUUCUUCUUCCUUUUUCAAUAUUCAUUUCCUUUUUCCUUUUUCUAUUUUCCUUAUUCGGUUUCUAUUUCCUUAUUGGAUUUUCAUUUCCUUAUUCGAUUUCCAUUUCCUUAUUCAAUUUUCAUUUCCUUAUUCGGUUUCUUUUUCCUUUUUCAAUAUUCAUUUCCUUAUUCGGUUUCUAUUUCCUUAUUCAGUUUCUAUUUCCUUAUUGGAUUUUCAUUUUCCUUAUUCGAUUUCCAUUUCCUUAUUCGAUUUUCAUUUCCUUAUUCGGUUUCUUUUUCCUUUUUCAAUAUUCAUUUCCUUUUUCUGUUUCUAUUUCCUUAUUCGGGUUCUAUUUCCUAAUUGGAUUUUCGUUUCCUUAUUCGAUUUCCAUUUCCUUAUUCGAUUUUCAUUUCCUAAUUCGGUUUCUUUUUCCUUUUUCAAUAUUCAUUUCCUUUUUCGGUUUCUAGUUCCUUAUUCGGUUUCUAUUUCCUUAUUGGAUUUUCAUUUCCUUAUUCAAUUUCCAUUUCCUUAUUCGGUUUCUUUUUCCUUAUUCGGUUUCUUUUUCCUUAUUCGGUUUCUUUUUCUUUUUUCAAUAUUCAUUUCCUUUUUCGGUUUCUAUUUCCUUAUUCGGUUUCUAUAACCUUUUUCGAUUUUCAUUUCCUUAUUCGGUUUCCAUUUCCUUUUUCGAUAUUCAAAUUUUGAAAAAUAUUACAAGUCCAAACUGAAUUUUUUUUUUCCUUCAAAUUUUUUUUUCCUCAAAAUUUUUUUUCAUCAAAAUUUUUUUUUCCUCAAAUUUUUUUUUUCCUCAAAAUUUUUUUUUUCCUCAAAAUUUUUUUUUCCUCUAAUUUUUUUUUUUCCUCAAAAUUUUUUUUUCCUCAAAAUUUUUUUGGCUCAAAAUUUUUUUUCCUCAUUUUUUUCCCUCAAAAUUUUUUUUCCUCAAAUAUUUUUUUUUCCUCAAAAUAUUUUUCCUCAAAAAGUUUUUCUUCUAAUUUUUUUUUCAUUUCCUUAUUCGUUUUCUUUUUCCUUUUUCGAUUAUCAUCCUUAUUCGAUUUCCAUUUCCUUAGUCGAUUUUCACUUCCUUAUUUGAUUUUCUUUUCCCUAUUCGGUUUCUUCUUCCUUUUUCAAUAUUCAUUUCCUUUUUCGGUUUCUAUUUCCUUAUUCGGUUUCUAUUUCCUUAUUGGAUUUUCAUUUCCUUAUUCGAUUUCCAUUUCCUUAUUCAAUUUUCAUUUCCUUAUUCGGUUUCUUCUUCCUUUUUCAAUAUUCAUUUCCUUUUUCGGUUUCUAUUUCCUUAUUCAGUUUCUAUUUCCUUAUUGGAUUUUCAUUUCCUUAUUCGAUUUCCAUUUCCUUAUUCAAUUUUCAUUUCCUUAUUCGGUUUCUUUUUCCUUUUUCAAUAUUCAUUUCCUUAUUUCGGUUUCUAUUUCCUUAUUCAGUUUCUAUUUCCUUAUUGGAUUUUCAUUUCCUUAUUCGAUUUCCAUUUCCUUAUUCGAUUUUCAUUUCCUUAUUCGCUUUCUUUUUCCUUUUUCAAUAUUCAUUUCCUUUUUCGGUUUCUAUUUCCUUAUUCGGUUUCUAUUUCCUAAUUGGAUUUUCAUUUCCUUAUUUGAUUUCCAUUUCCUUAUUCGAUUUUCAUUUCCUAAUUCGGUUUCUUUUUCCUUUUUCAAUAUUCAUUUCCUUUUUCGGUUUCUAGUUCCUUAUUCAGUUUCUAUUUCCUUAUUGGAUUUUCAUUUCCUUAUUCAAUUUAAAUUUCCUUAUUCAGUUUCUUUUUCCUUAUUCGGUUUCCUUUUCCUUUUUCGGUUUCUUUUUCCUUAUGCGGUUUCUUUUUCCUUUUUCAAUAUUCAUUUCCUUUUUUGGUUUCUAGUUCCUUAUUCAGUUUCUAUUUCCAUAUUGGAUUUUCAUUUCCUUAUUUAAUUUCAAUUUCCUUAUUCGGUUUCUUUUUCCUUAUUCGGUUUCUUUU